GCUGCUUUGGAGCUUAGAAUGUCGGGAAGAUGAGGACACGUUGUGCCCUCGAGGCUUUUCUUGCUUUCUUUUUUUUUUUUUUUUUUUUUUUUAACUCGGAGGUUUUUCUAAUCACCAUGAGACUGUAUAUGUGCACACUUUUUUUCAAUGUACAUGUGCACACUUUUUUUUUUUUUUUUUUUAAUGAACGUCAUUAAAAGUUUCGGGGAAGUAGAGGAGGGCGAUGGCGAAGGGGCCCUCCGGCGCUCGGCGUUAAACAAACAAACAAACGGCCAGAGAGCCCAUUACUCACAGAAACUAUGCGUGCGUGUUUCUGUGCUUUUGGGCCCCUCCCUCGCCCCGCGGGCUUUCGCGUCGGCCCGUGUCUUGAAGGUGAGAAGGCCCGGCUGAUAAUUGAACGGCGGCUGGCACUUCAACAAAUGUAUUGAAAGCAGCAAUCGAAAAACCCGUUAAUGAGAUUUGCCUACCCCGGGCGGUUCUCGGGGGCCACCCUUCUCAUAAUUUUCCUAAUCUAAUAGUUUUUCUUGUGAUUUUUUUUUUUUUUUAAACCCCAUACAUGACAUGCUAGAACGCUGGUGGUAAACUCGAGGCAAGCGAGCCACAUCUGGCCCUCCACGUCAUUCUGUGUGGCCUGCGUAAGUUUGCUCCAAUUGUUUCCUGACUCUGUGUUCAAAAGUUAUACAGCCUCUAAAUGAUAAUCAUCAAAUGCAUGUGUUUUGUAAAAGACGAGAAGUGUACAAUACAGUACAAUUCUGUCUCUGGCUAGCAGACCUCAUGUCUAGAUGCACGCUUUUGCCAAAACGUCUGUUCAAAACUUGGCAUUUCUUAUAAAAAUCUUGCCAAUCAAAUGGAGGGGGGAUGUUGUAAUCUGAUGGGAUGGUUAUGAAGGUUACAUCACAGAACAUCUUACGUAAGGGACAGGAAGAGGAACUGCCUGGUAGUCUCGCCAAAAAUCCAGUCCGUAAACCAACGCAUCGCAGCUGUGCUUCUGGCUAGCAGACGGUAUGGCUAGCACCGAGCUAUUUGGCAAAACAUCAAACUGAUUUUAGCAAAUGUUAACGUUCGUGCAGCACAUAAUAAAAUUAAUAAAAUUAGUGCUGCGCUAACGCGAACGUCAAGCAGUUUUUCAAGAGUCUCUUCCGAGCCUUUCAGAUGGAACCAAAGCAAUAACAAAUGGGGCCGUCGUGCGGAAAAGCCGGGGGGCCUCGCGGCGACACGGCGCUCCCCGCUUCUCGGGCGCCCUCGUCGCUCGCAACGACGCCGGCGGGGGGGGGCGUCACGUGGCCCGAGUGACUCCUGACCCGCCCGCCGCGGUUUGGCACCGUCGCAGACGGCGCAAAGGGUCACAUGUGCCCCCCCAAAAUGGCGCCGACGUCCCCGGGCUCUGCGCUGAAGAAUUUUCCAGAGUUGACAGUGUCAAAACAUCACGUCAAAAAUGACCAAGCUCAUGUGUCAUCUUGCAGCGCACUAUUCAUGUGGAAAAGGUUGAAGCGGCGCUACGCCGCGAACAGCCGCGCUCGGCAAAAUUGAUGACUGAACUGGAGUCCCGCGUCGGUCACAUGAUCUAAUAUCGAACGACAAUAUCUAAUCUCUAACGAUCUACUAAAGGAGCCACCGAGCUUUAUUGAGCCCUUAAACUUGAGCCAAAAUGGACGCCGCAAGCCUGGCUAUGAGGCAGCAGAAGCAUGUGAUUUCUCCCAGCCAAUCACUGUGAAGAGUGGGAUUGCAUUAUGCUGGUAUUAAAUGGAUUUUAAAAACUGUACCAAAUAA